AUUGAACGCUGGCGGCAUGCCUUACACAUGCAAGUCGAACGGCAGCAUGGAGAGCUUGCUCUCUGAUGGCGAGUGGCGAACGGGUGAGUAAAGCAUCGGAACGUACCGUGUAGUGGGGGAUAACGUAGCGAAAGUUACGCUAAUACCGCAUACGCACUGAGGUGGAAAGCAGGGGAUCGUAAGACCUUGCGCUAUACGAGCGGCCGAUGUCAGAUUAGCUAGUUGGUAGGGUAAAGGCCUACCAAGGCGACGAUCUGUAGCGGGUCUGAGAGGAUGAUCCGCCACACUGGGACUGAGACACGGCCCAGACUCCUACGGGAGGCAGCAGUGGGGAAUUUUGGACAAUGGGGGCAACCCUGAUCCAGCCGUGCCGCGUGAGUGAAGAAGGCCUUCGGGUUGUAAAGCUCUUUCGGCCGGGAAGAAAUCGCACAGGCUAAUACCCUGUGUGGAUGACGGUACCGGCAUAAGAAGCACCGGCUAACUACGUGCCAGCAGCCGCCGUAA
rnacentral:rRNA from 1 species